rnacentral:lncRNA from 1 species
CGCCCGCACCUAUUUUUUUCAAAACAGAUUUUUUUUAUUUUUUUUUAUAUUCCCGCUUCCCGCAUCCGGAAAUGUAAUCAUGUCUAUUUCCCGGACCGUUAUUUUUGAAAAUAUCAUAAAAAGAUAUCAAAAUUGGUUUCUUUCCCCCUUACUUAUAUUCCCUAUCAAAAAUGUUCGUUGUUAGAAUAAAGUACAAAGAACUU